CGGAGCUUGCUCCACCGGAAAAAGAAGAGUGGCGAACGGGUGAGUAACACGUGGGUAACCUGCCCAUCAGAAGGGGAUAACACUUGGAAACAGGUGCUAAUACCGUAUAACAAUCGAAACCGCAUGGUUUUGAUUUGAAAGGCGCUUUCGGGUGUCGCUGAUGGAUGGACCCGCGGUGCAUUAGCUAGUUGGUGAGGUAACGGCUCACCAAGGCCACGAUGCAUAGCCGACCUGAGAGGGUGAUCGGCCACAUUGGGACUGAGACACGGCCCAAACUCCUACGGGAGGCAGCAGUAGGGAAUCUUCGGCAAUGGACGAAAGUCUGACCGAGCAACGCCGCGUGAGUGAAGAAGGUUUUCGGAUCGUAAAACUCUGUUGUUAGAGAAGAACAAGGAUGAGAGUAACUGUUCAUCCCUUGACGGUAUCUAACCAGAAAGCCACGGCUAACUACGUGCCAGCAGCCGCGGUAAUACGUAGGUGGCAAGCGUUGUCCGGAUUUAUUGGGCGUAAAGCGAGCGCAGGCGGUUUCUUAAGUCUGAUGUGAAAGCCCCCGGCUCAACCGGGGAGGGUCAUUGGAAACUGGGAGACUUGAGUGCAGAAGAGGAGAGUGGAAUUCCAUGUGUAGCGGUGAAAUGCGUAGAUAUAUGGAGGAACACCAGUGGCGAAGGCGGCUCUCUGGUCUGUAACUGACGCUGAGGCUCGAAAGCGUGGGGAGCAAACAGGAUUAGAUACCCUGGUAGUCCACGCCGUAAACGAUGAGUGCUAAGUGUUGGAGGGUUUCCGCCCUUCAGUGCUGCAGCUAACGCAUUAAGCACUCCGCCUGGGGAGUACGACCGCAAGGUUGAAACUCAAAGGAAUUGACGGGGGCCCGCACAAGCGGUGGAGCAUGUGGUUUAAUUCGAAGCAACGCGAAGAACCUUACCAGGUCUUGACAUCCUUUGACCACUCUAGAGAUAGAGCUUCCCCUUCGGGGGCAAAGUGACAGGUGGUGCAUGGUUGUCGUCAGCUCGUGUCGUGAGAUGUUGGGUUAAGUCCCGCAACGAGCGCAACCCUUAUUGUUAGUUGCCAUCAUUUAGUUGGGCACUCUAGCAAGACUGCCGGUGACAAACCGGAGGAAGGUGGGGAUGACGUCAAAUCAUCAUGCCCCUUAUGACCUGGGCUACACACGUGCUACAAUGGGAAGUACAACGAGUCGCGAAGUCGCGAGGCUAAGCUAAUCUCUUAAAGCUUCUCUCAGUUCGGAUUGUAGGCUGCAACUCGCCUACAUGAAGCCGGAAUCGCUAGUAAUCGCGGAUCAGCACGCCGCGGUGAAUACGUUCCCGGGCCUUGUACACACCGCCCGUCACACCACGAGAGUUUGUAACACCCGAAGUCGGUGAGGUA
rnacentral:rRNA from 1 species